UAAAAGAAAUUUUAUUAAAGAUUAAAGAUUAAACGAUUGUUCAAACAUGGCGAAUAAAUUGACAAAACGAAAAUAUUACAUGACGUUCCAUCGAAAAUAACAGCAAGGAUUGCGGGCGCGAGCGGAAGGCGAGGGUAAUAGAUAUUAAUAGAAGGGAUGAUACAUCGGUAAUGGGAUCGUCUGAUGUGUUAAAGUCACGUGAUAUUUGUUUCAUCCCUUUUAUUUAUUUCUUCCCUCGCCUUUUCGCUCGCGCGCCCGCGCAAUCUCUGCUGUUAUUUGUAUAACUAUAUCUGUUAUGUUACAUGUAUAAUAUUUUCGUUUUGUCAAUUUUUUCGCCAUAUUUGAACAAUCUU